rnacentral:rRNA from 1 species
GACGAACCGAGCGAACGUUGUUCGGAAUCACUGGGCAUAAAGGGUGCGUAGGCGGGCCGCCAAGUCUGUGGUGAAAUUCUCCAGCUUAACUGGAGUAGUGCCGCGGAUACUGGGGGCCUGGAGGGAGAUAGGGGCGUGCGGAACUCUGGGUGGAGCGGUGAAAUGCGUUGAUAUCCAGAGGAACUCCGGUGGCGAAGGCGGCACGCUGGAUCUUUUCUGACGCUGAGGCACGAAAGCCAGGGGAGCGAACGGG